UUUAGAUGUUUAUUUGUUUCUUAGAAAUGAAGAUUAUUAUACGUAUUUAUGUUGUUGUUUUUCUGUCCAUAUUUAUAUUAUUGUAUUUAAUUAUGGACAAGUAUAGUUGAGGAUUUUUAAGAUAAUGUUAUUGUCAUUUGCUAUUGUUUGAAUACAUAUUCGUAAUUUUGAUGUCAAUUUAAUUAGCUAACUGAUAAUUUGAUGAUUUGCUUUCUGAAUUUUGGAAGAAGGUUUAAUGUUUUACUGAUUGUGACAUGAUUUAUUGAGUGAAAUAAUUAUAGUAAUUAAUAUUUGCUAAUAUGUUAUAAUCUUUUUUUUUGUAUUUAUCAUAGUUAAUUUUGUCUUUUUAUUAAAGUUUGAAAUAAAGUUAGUAUCUAUCAUUUUAAAUGAUUUUGUCCGACCACUUUAAAGUUAAUGCUCCACUACCUUGGAAUAAAACAUCUUUUGAGUAGUUCUAGGGGAAUCUUGAAAAGUUGUUUGUUUUUAUCCAUCUUUUGAAAAUCUUUUUGAAUUAAAGGGUUUGGCCAAUUAUAUUGGUCGGGAGGAUUGUCUAUCAUCAAUGCCUAUAAAGACAGAGAUAAAACACAAACACAGGGACGGACCAGAGUAAGGAGAAAACUAAGAAAGAAAGAAAAUAUUUUUUACUUGAUAGAAAAAUCUCAAACGAAAAAAAAGGGAGGGAGUUUCUUGCAUACUUUAACAUCACUUCUAGUAUUUAGCAUUGUGUUUUCAGAUUCCUAUUGACUUGUUCCUCUAACUAAAGCAUCCAGUUUAGCAGGAUUUGAACUUCAGAGUUUGAGACGCGAAGCUUUCGCUUGGAUCGGAGAAGCUACUACAUUUCACAUCUUUGUCUACUCAUAUUAUUUCUAUUUACUUUUCUUUAUUUUUGUUAGGUUGUAAUAAUUUGUAAAUACUAUAUAAUGAAAUUAUUUGGGGACUGCCUAAGGGGGGAGGGGAGCUAACGUGUUACUUGUUUAUUUUACCUUGUCAUAAUUUGUGUAUUUGCUUAUAAGUGUUGAUUGAUUGAUCGUAGUUGUUAAAACAAUGUAGUUACUUAACUCUUAGACUAAAAUCUAAGUUUGGGUUUGAA